GGCUAGAGUUUGAUCAUGGCUCAGGAUGAACGCUGGCGGCGUGCCUAACACAUGCAAGUCGAACGGAGUUGUUUAGGAAGUUUCCUUCGGGAGACGGAUUUCUCAACUUAGUGGCGGACGGGUGAGUAACGCGUGAGCAAUCUGCCUUUAGGAGGGGGAUAACAGUCGGAAACGACUGCUAAUACCGCAUGACACAGCUGAGAGGCAUCUCUUGGCUGUCAAAGGAGCAAUCCGCCUUUAGAUGAGCUCGCGUCUGAUUAGCUAGUUGGCGGGGUAACGGCCCACCAAGGCGACGAUCAGUAGCCGGACUGAGAGGUUGAACGGCCACAUUGGGACUGAGACACGGCCCAGACUCCUACGGGAGGCAGCAGUGGGGAAUAUUGCGCAAUGGGGGCAACCCUGACGCAGCAACGCCGCGUGAGUGAAGAAGGCCUUCGGGUUGUAAAGCUCUUUAAUCAGGGACGAAAAAAUGACGGUACCUGAAGAAUAAGCUCCGGCUAACUACGUGCCAGCAGCCGCGGUAAUACGUAGGGAGCAAGCGUUAUCCGGAUUUACUGGGUGUAAAGGGCGCGCAGGCGGGCUGGCAAGUUGGGAGUGAAAUGCCGGGGCUUAACCCCGGAACUGCUUUCAAAACUGCUGGUCUUGAGUGAUGGAGAGGCAGGCG
rnacentral:rRNA from 1 species